UGUAGUUGAGUAAUGGCUCUGCUAGUUUUCUAGCGAAUGUCAUGUUAUUUGUUAGUUGGACUAAAGGCGGUUAACUUUUGCUAACUUAGAGGAUAAUUCACGCUCAAUAUUAUAUUUGAAGGACAAAGUUAAAUUUACCCUGAAAAGAUAAGGGAUAAUUUUGGUAAAAAAAAACUCCUAAGUAUGAGCAAUAGCAAACGCAUUUAGAAGUGAAACAAUUACUAUGAACAUAUUAUUUGAUUAAUAUCUUCAUAAGUAUUUACGAGAGAGAGAGAGUCCAUUGUUAUUUUAUUUUCUCUUAUUAAUUAUUAAUGUUCAUUCAAUUCUGAGGCUAGCUAACUUGGUUUAAAAAAACCAUUCUUACAAAGGAGUAAUUACGUACUAGUACAAGUAAAGAAAAGGAAAAAAAAUAUGUAGUGAUAGAAUUAUCAACUUAAACAAUUUUUUGCAAUACUACAUUAUUUAUGCUAACAAACACCACAUAUUCCUUUCUCGCAAAAUCUACAUAGGCAUAAUCACCCAGCUAGUAUAGGCGAAAAACCUAAAAUAACCUAACUGCAAAAAAAAAAAUUAAAAGUUAUGGAAUUAAAAAAAAUUACAUGUGUAAUUAAACUAAGCUAUCUAUACCAUAAUUUGUACAAAAUUGAAAUUGGUGAAUACAAAUAUUGAAUCACCAAUAUAAUACAGAGGAAAACUCUACAACCAAAAGACAAACUAAUGAAUGAAAAUUAAAUUACUAUACCUUUAACGGAUAGCAAGAGGAACUCUAAAUGCAGAAUUCAAGCCUUUCUUUUCUUGUUGUGUAGAGGAUUUGGUCCAGUGGGAACUCUCCUCUUAUCGGACUCAAAGCCUCUAGCAAACGGCGCACUCGCCUGAGGUUGAAAAACUUGAUGUUUUCUCGCCAUCGACGGACCGGAAAAUCGUGCCGCCGGUGGACGGCCGAUGGCGUGAAGUAAUACAAUUUGAGAAGUGAAGAGGAGAAAGAAGAAGAAAAAGAAAUGAAAGAGACUGUUCAUGAUUGAAGAAUGUUGUUAUGUUAAAGUGCUAGAAAAGGUUGAAAAUGGUAGCUAGCAUUUUGUGGAUUAUAUAUAUGGACAUGGUUGGUCCAGGCUCCUGUUAUAAAAUUAAUGAUUAAAUUACAUAAAAUUCCGUGUCGCCAUAAAUUCUUUAUUUUAUUUCAAUUUAUUAAGUCUUAGGCUUUGAAUUUUCACACGUUGG
rnacentral:lncRNA from 1 species